GGCAGCGGCUUGGCCCCCGCCGCCACGUCUCAAACUUCAGAGAAACCCGUUUUGAUUUCCCCGUACUUCCCUACCGCCCCCCUUUCCGCUAGGACCGGCCUUUUAUCCCGGCGAGAGAAAUAAAGACCUCUCAGGAACAACCAGAAGAGACAAACAAACAAGAAACCACAGAAGAAAGCGUUUGAAAGGCGGCCGAGAGAUAAUCCAGGAAUGCUACAGAUAAGGGGGCAGAGGGGAGGCGAUACGUGCGGAGAUACCCGAAAAGUCAGAGCCUGAUGAAACGCUUGGAAGAGGAAUGGGGAAGAAAAGAAAGAAAACAAACCCCAAUCCUGUUUAAAGACCUAUUAAAGGAUAGACCCAAGUGGGGGAAUGAUAGUAAAAGGAGGGGAACUGCUGGGGAUUUAGGGGAGCAGAUGAAGCGCAGCGCCCGGACUGUUGACCCACUGUGGCUCCAGACAACCGGGCCGGGCGGGGGAUGCGGCCCGGGGUCACCCACCGCCUGCAGCCAGCGCCGCUCGGUCCCGGAGGCCGCCUGAAGUCCGGGGCGGGCCAUCCCGGACCGGCGGAGCGGUCCGCGAAGGAAAGGGGGGGCUCCUCGCUCCCCCCUACCUCCCCACUACCGGCCCUGGCAUUUGCAGAAGUUAUGGGGGUCUUUGAUUAAUUAAAUAGAGGGCUUCAUAAAAUAUUCCCAAUAAAAUUUACGGUUGUCUUAAAACUUUCUAAACACCGCUAUAAAUUUCUUUAAUAAAAUUAACUGGGAAAUGA